UUGAGAGUUUUGCUGGGUAUAGUAGCCU
rnacentral:piRNA from 1 species